GUUGAUACAAAUUUCUCUUGAUCGUAAUGCAUUUGGAACUUUUGGAAAACCUGCGGCUGGGAGCUGAUUGUUCUCGAUCAAGUCCAGUGCUGAACCCCCAAAUGGAUUGCAAGGAUCAAAGGAACGUUUUGGAAAACCUGGAGACUGCAAAUCUGAGACGAAAUUCUACUCAAAAUCCGUUUUGGAGCUUGUUCUAUCUGUUCAUGGUGAAUCAAGUCCGUUUUGUUCUGCUUGCACUUUCAUUUUGAAUUUUUGCAUAUUUUUUAUUCUUUUCGAUGUAUAUUGUUUUCUAAUGGGCAUUUAGUGUGCAAUGUCUUUCUUUUAAGUCAUUGGUUACUUUGUAAAGAGAAAAAAAAGUGAAUUAUGUCCUUGUUCUACUCUUUCUACAACAUUUACAUAAAAAAGCAAAAAAACUGCUAAAACAGGCAAAUCAAACUUCCUUAAGCAUUCAAUUGGCCAUUUAGUCUUUUGGGAUUUAA